rnacentral:rRNA from 1 species
ACUCGAGUGGCGAACGGGUGAGUAACACGUGGGUGAUCUGCCCUGCACUUCGGGAUAAGCCUGGGAAACUGGGUCUAAUACCGGAUAGGACCACAUUUUGGAUGGUGUGGUGGAAAGUUUUUCGGUGUGGGAUGAGCUCGCGGCCUAUCAGCUUGUUGGUGGGGUAAUGGCCUACCAAGGCGUCGACGGGUAGCCGGCCUGAGAGGGUGUACGGCCACAUUGGGACUGAGAUACGGCCCAG